rnacentral:rRNA from 1 species
UACGAAGGGGGCUAGCGUUGCUCGGAAUCACUGGGCGUAAAGCGCACGUAGGCGGCUUUCUAAGUCAGGGGUGAAAUCCCGGGGCUCAACCUCGGAACUGCCUUUGAUACUGCAAAUCUCGAGUCCGGAAGAGGUGAGUGGAAUUCCUAGUGUAGAGGUGAAAUUCGUAGAUAUUAGGAAGAACACCAGUGGCGAAGGCGGACUCACUGGUCCGGUACUGACGCUGAGGUGCGAAAGCGUGGGGAGCAAACAGGG